rnacentral:snoRNA from 1 species
GGGCCAAUGAUGGCUUCAAUAAUUGAUAUGUUGGAAAAUCUGGACAAAAUAAGUGACAGAAUCACUUCUCUGAAACUGAGUUCA